rnacentral:rRNA from 1 species
GGGCCCGCACAAGCGGUGGAGCAUGUGGUUUAAUUCGAUGAUACGCGAGGAACCUUACCAGGGCUUAAAUGUAGGUUGCAUGAUCUAGAGAUAGAUCUUUCUUCGGACUACCUACAAGGUGCUGCAUGGUUGUCGUCAGCUCGUGCUGUGAGGUGUCAGGUUAAGUCCUAUAACGAGCGCAACCCCUGUCGUUAGUUACCAGCAAUUAAAGUUGGGUACUCUAGCGAGACUGCCGGUGCAAACCGUGAGGAAGGUGGGGAUGACGUCAAAUCAUCACGGCCCUUACGUCCUGGGCUACACACGUGCUACAAUGGCCGGUACAGAGAGCAGCCACUACGCGAGUAGGAGCGAAUCUUCAAAGCCGGUCACAGUUCGGAUCGGAGUCUGCAACUCGACUCCGUG